UGAGCUCUCUAGGAACUCUAUCAUAUGCCUUUUCUAGGUUGAUAAAGACCAUAUAGAGAUUCUUUUUGUAAGCUCUAAAAAUUUCCAUAAGCCUCCUUAGAAGGUAAAUAGCAACUGUCGUGGAUCUCCCGGGCAUAAAACCAAAUUGGUUCUCCGAUAUAUCAGUUUCUCUUCUUAGGUGGGCUUCAAUAACCUUCUCCCAAACCUUCAUCGUAUGACUCAUAAGUUUAAUGCCUCAAUAGUUAUUGCAAUCCUGAAUAUCCCCUUUAUA